GAGGGUAUAGCUCAGUGGUGGAGUGCAUGCCUAGCACGCACAAGGUCCUGGGUUCAAUUCCCAGUACCUCUG
rnacentral:tRNA from 1 species